AGAGUUUGAUCAUGGCUCAGGACGAACGCUGGCGGCGCGCUUAACACAUGCAAGUCGAGCGAGAACCAGGCCUUCGGGCCUGGGGACAGCGGCGAACGGGUGAGUAACACGUGGGUAAUCAACCCUCGAUACUGGGAUAGCCCGGGGAAACCCGGAUUAAUACCGGAUGGCCCUUUGGAUCUGUGGAUCUGAAGGAAAAGGUAGCUUCGGCCUCCGAUCGAGGACGAGCCCGCGGCGGAUUAGCUUGUUGGUGGGGUAAUGGCUCACCAAGGCGACGAUCCGUAGCUGGUCUGAGAGGACGAUCAGCCACACUGGGACUGAGACACGGCCCAGACUCCUACGGGAGGCAGCAGUGGGGAAUCUUGCGCUAAUGCGGGAAACCGUGACGCAGCGACGCCGCGUGAGGGAAGAAGGCCUUCGGGUUGCAAACCUCUUUCAGGAGGGACGAAGCCACUCGGGUUAAUAGCCCAGAGGGUGACGGUACCUCCAGAAGAAGCCCCGGCUAACUACGUGCCAGCAGCGGCGGUAAUAC
rnacentral:rRNA from 1 species